UACGGGGGGCGCAAGCGUUGCUCGGAAUCACUGGGCGUAAAGCGUCCGCAGGCGGCUCGGUCAGUCGGGUGUGAAAGCCCGGAGCUCAACUCCGGAACUGCAUUCGAUACUGCCGAGCUCGAGUACGAGAGAGGAUGGCGGAAUUCCUGGUGUAGAGGUGAAAUUCGUAGAUAUCAGGAGGAACACCGGUGGCGAAAGCGGCCAUCUGGCUCGAUACUGACGCUCAUGGACGAAAGCGUGGGGAGCAAAC
rnacentral:rRNA from 1 species